rnacentral:lncRNA from 1 species
CAAAGUUGAAGAAAGAUUUUUUGCUCUUGCCUGUCAUAAAAAGGAGCCCUAAAUAUUUGUCUAUACCUAGAGCAGCCUGCAUUUAUAGUUAAAACAUUUCUACUACCAAAAAUCUUUGAUAUUUGGAGGUUUACUGUCUGACUAAAAGCAGCACUCUCGUAGAUAAAAUGGUUUUUGAUGUUGAUUACACACAUUCAUAAUGUCAUAGAAUCUCUUGAAUUGAUUUUUUUUUACACUUCAUUGAUUAGAGAUGAAAAGAAAAUCACCACACAAAUAAAGAUAGAUGAGAAGAAGAAGGACUAUCAAAAUACAAAAUUCUUUCAAUAAAUAAAAAAAUUACAAAGUUCUUGAAACAUGAUUCUCGUGUCAUAAUUCCAAAUGUUCUUCAUCAUUGAUUGGAC